rnacentral:tRNA from 2 species
GCCCAGAUAGCUCAGUCGGUAGAGCAAAGGACUGAAAAUCCUUGUGUCGGUGGUUCGAUUCCGCCUCUGGGCA